rnacentral:rRNA from 1 species
UACGUAGGUGGCAAGCGUUGUCCGGAUUUAUUGGGUUUAAAGGGUGCGUAGGCGGCCCUGUAAGUCAGCGGUGAAAUACGGCAGCUCAACUGUCGAGGUGCCGUUGAUACUUCGGGGCUUGAGUGUUGACGAGGCAGGCGGAAUUGACGGUGUAGCGGUGAAAUGCUUAGAUAUCGUCAAGAACACCGAUAGCGAAGGCAGCCUGCCAGGCAACAACUGACGCUGAGGCACGAAAGUGCGGGGAUCAAACAGG